rnacentral:rRNA from 1 species
AUGAACGCUGGCGGCGUGCUUAACACAUGCCAGUCGAACGGUGAAGGCGGAGCUUGCUCUGCUGGAUCAGUGGCGAACGGGUGAGUAACACGUGAGCAAUCUGCCCCUGACUCUGGGAUAAGCGCUGGAAACGGCGUCUAAUACUGGAUACGAGCUGCGAAGGCAUCUUCAGCAGCUGGAAAGAAUUUCGGUCAGGGAUGAGCUCGCGGCCUAUCAGCUUGUUGGUGAGGUAAUGGCUCACCAAGGCGUCGACGGGUAGCCGGCCUGAGAGGGUGACCGGCCACACUGGGACUGAGACACGGCCCAGACUCCUACGGGAGGCAGCAGUGGGGAAUAUUGCACAAUGGGCGAAAGCCUGAUGCAGCAACGCCGCGUGAGGGACGACGGCCUUCGGGUUGUAAACCUCUUUUAGCAGGGAAGAAGCGAAAGUGACGGUACCUGCAGAAAAAGCGCCGGCUAACUACGUG